GGUCCAGACUCCUACGGGAGGCAGCAGUGAGGGAUAUUGGGCAAUGGGGGAAACCCUGACCCAGCGACGCCGCGUGAGGGAAGACGGUCUUCGGAUUGUAAACCUCUGUCUUUGGGGACGAAAAAGGACGGUACCCAAGGAGGAAGCUCCGGCUAACUACGUGCCAGCAGCCGCGGUAAUACGUAGGUGGCAAGCGUUAUCCGGAUUUAUUGGGUGUAAAGGGCGUGUGGGCGGGAAUGCAAGUCAGAUGUGAAAACUAUGGGCUCAACCCAUAGCCUGCAUUUGAAACUGUAUUUCUUGAGUGCUGGAGAGGCAAUCGGAAUUCCGUGUGUAGCGGUGAAAUGCGUAGAUAUACGGAGGAACACCAGUGGCGAAGGCGGAUUGCUGGACAGUAACUGACGCUGAGGCGCGAAAGCGUGGGGAGCAAACAGGAUUAGAUACCCUUGUAC
rnacentral:rRNA from 1 species